UUUCGUUAUCGGGUUGUUUAUUAAAUAUAUUAUAGAUUGUCGAUCUACAUAUUAUCUACAGCCUGCUGCCUGUAGUACCUAUACUAUCAGUAUGCCUACAACGUCGAUAUCGAUCAUUUCAAAAUUUAAGAUUUAGUAUUGUAAUUUGAAAUCUCAUGUAUGAAGUACCUACCUAUAUGCACCGAUCACUUCAGUGGAUGUAAAGAGCUCGUUUUCUAUGUUAAAUGUUAAGUAUUCUGUCGGACAAUAGAGUCAGUUACACUACUGCAAAUCAAAGGAAAUACACGGCCAAUUUUUCUCCGUCGUAGUAAUUACCUACAUGUAUUUUAUGUGUAAAGUUUUAACUUUAUACAUGAGCUGACGGAACGUUUGUAAAUUGAUAUAGCAGGAUACGACGCAGAAAAAUAUAGGGGUGCCAAAGUACUCGCUCUGUCAUCCUUCAAAUAGCACGCUUGAUAUGGCUGAUAAAAUUAUUAUUAGCUAUAUACAUACUAUGCAUCGCCAUCACCGUUCAUUCAUUAUAGUUAUACCUAUAAUGUAUCACGUGUUUUCCAAAAACUGAGUUGGUCAUCGGCACCUAUACUAUACUGUUUAGGGUCGAAAAAAUAAAUUUCAAAUUUAUACCUAAUGGGUAAGAUUUUGUUGUCAAUAUAGUGUGAAAAAAUAAGUUAUCACUGAAAUAUUUUGUAAAAUUCUAUCCAGUAUCGUUAUAAUUUACAUUCAUUUAUCAUAUGUUACUAUUGUAAUAAAAACAAAAUUAUUUCUUUAGAUAGACGAUUUUUUUUUCGAGGAACAGACACAUUCGUUGAAGAAGUCUCGACGUAUUUUAAUACUUGCAGGUACUGUGAUAAACAUCAUUUUAAUAAUAUUAUUACCUAUAUAUUUAUUGUACAAUGUAUAAACUUGUAUUGCGUCUUAUGAUAUAAAUCGUAUCGAACUGCCGUGCGCACGUCAUAAUAUAAGCGUUUAUUAUACACUGUACUACAAUAUAUGGCAAUCUGGUCACGUACGCAAUACAUCGUGCUAUGAUAUUAUAAAUUACGUCUUAUGAUAUAGGUAGGUACAGAUAGCCAGUGGCUUAAGUAUAAAAAUUCUGAUUCGAAACGAAAAACUUAAAGGGUCCUUCUCCUUCUCGAAAUGAAUUUAUAAAAUACAAAUGGAAGUUAACAUGUUUUAAAUGAGCACCCCAAGUUACGAAUUUCUAUACCAAAAUUUCACAAGAUUAUGUUAUCAUUAUAUUGGUGUAUUUUAAAGGUCAGUUAAAACAGUUUAAAUUUUACUUUAAACCAGCUUUUAAAUUCUCAAAGUUGUCAACAAUUAUUGUGUAACGUCCACGAGU